UACGUAGGGCGCAAGCGUUUGUCCGGAAUUAUUGGGCGUAAAGAGCUCGUAGGCGGCUUGUCACGUCGGUUGUGAAAGCCCGGGGCUUAACCCCGGGUCUGCAGUCGAUACGGGCAGGCUAGAGUGUGGUAGGGGAGAUCGGAAUUCCUGGUGUAGCGGUGAAAUGCGCAGAUAUCAGGAGGAACACCGGUGGCGAAGGCGGAUCUCUGGGCCAUUACUGACGCUGAGGAGCGAAAGCGUGGGGAGCGAACAGG
rnacentral:rRNA from 1 species